CAAAAGUUUGGUCCUGACUUUGCUAUCGGCUUUAACCAGAUUUACACAUGCAAGUAUCCGCGCCCCUGUGAGGAUGCCCUUCGUUCCCCGCCACGGGAGCAAGGAGCUGGUAUCAGGCACAGUUAUUACUAGCCCACGACACCUGCUUAGCCACCCCCCCAAGGGAAAUCAGCAGUGAUAGACAUUAAACAUGAGUGAAAACUUGAUUUAGUUAAGGUUAAGAGGGUCGGUAAAUCUCGUGCCAGCCACCGCGGUUAUACGAGAGGCCCAAGUUGAUAGAUAUCGGCGUAAAGAGUGGUUAGGGAUUUCAACACUAAAGCCAAAUGCCCCCACGGCUGUUAUACGCACCCGGAGGUAAGAAGCCCGCUUACGAAAGUAGCUUUAUGAACCCUGAACCCACGAAAGCUGAGAUACAAACUGGGAUUAGAUACCCCACUAUGCUUAGCCCUAAACAUUGACAACGACGUACGCCCGUUGUCCGCCCGGGAAGUACAAGCGCUAGCUUAAAACCCAAAGGACUUGGCGGUGCUUUAGAUCCACCUAGAGGAGCCUGUUCUAGAACCGAUAACCCCCGUUCAACCUCACCCCUUCUUGCUUUUACCCGCCUAUAUACCGCCGUCGUCAGCUUACCCUGUGAAGGACUUAUAGUAAGCAGAAUUGGCACAACCCAGAACGUCAGGUCGAGGUGUAGCGAAUGAAGAGGGAAGAAAUGGGCUACAUUCCCUGACUCUAGGGAACACGGACAACGUACUGAAACGUACAUUCAAAGGAGGAUUUAGCAGUAAGAAAGGAAGCAGAGCGUUCCACUGAAACUGGCCCUGAAGCGCGCACACACCGCCCGUCGUUCU
rnacentral:ncRNA from 1 species